GGGCGGUGGUAUCUGUCACUCCAUUGAUCACCAGAGUUGAUUUGGCUGAUUUAAGUGGUUAUGUGCGUGUCCCCAUUUGUAUCCCUCCCUGGACCAUAUUAGGCUAAAGAUGAUGGCCUUCCCCAAUAGAGAAGGACUGUCCUUCAAGCAUACCUGAAAACCUGAGUUCCCCUGCAAAUACUUUCAAGCAAGCCCUCAGGGUCCAACUGUGGCAGAAUGUAGGGUUCUCAAGAUUCCAGAUUCUAGAUACCUCCAAAUGAGGCACUGGGUUUUGUAGUCUGCCUUCU
rnacentral:snRNA from 1 species